GAGAGUUCUGGCGAGGGCUGCGGGAAGGAAAGGGGGCGGCGUCCUUCACAGGGAGGGUGCAGCUGACCUCCCUCCCCUUGUGCAGACUGGAAAAGAAUGGCCCAGAUCCUCUGGACUCCUCAGAUGAGCGGAUUCAGAGAGAAGCUUUUGAGAGCGUGCUGGCGGAGACAUUUUUCACAAAAGAGCCCUUGCGGUGCUGGUGUCCGUGGCGUGCCUGGAGCAAAGAUAGCAAUUCUUAAGGCCUGUUAUCUAUUAGUUACCCUUGCCUUGGCGGCAGACACAGCUGAGUCCUAACGCAGACUUUUCCAUAUCCCCUCUCCCGCCUCAACAGUGAUCUCUCCUCCCACUUCGAGAGUUAAUUCAGUGCUGCUUUAGCUUUACGCCCCCAUGAAAACAGGAAAACGGUUUGCAGCUUUAUCAUAACCUUGCUUAUGUCUGUUGUUGUAUGUCUCAAAUACCCUGUCCUCAGGAAGGCCCACCAACGCUGGCCGGCCUCCAAGCACCCGGGCCUCUGCUCAUGUACAGCUCCUGAACUGCCCUGCCUCUGAGUUACUGUGGAAAAUGAGCUUAUAUAUGAAGAAGUCAGCGAGUGGACAAAGCCAGGCGCAAUGGAUAGCAAAGAUGUGGAAGUCUCCUCGAUUCAAGUUACAAGAAAACCGCAGCAUGGAGUCUGCUCUCAGCUGUUGGGGAAUUACCGAUGCCUUUGACUAAGUCAAGACUGACUUUUCCAGAAUAUCACCCAAGAGAUAGAGCCGUCCCUGUCCAAGUUUGUGCGCUAGCCCUUCAUGGAGGUCAGAGAGGAAGAAACAAAGGCAGCUGUGGCCUCGGCGGUCACAGUGUCAGAACGCACAAGCCCCAUAAAGAGGUUUCACGCAGGCCACCCAUCCCUUUUCAUUCUCCAGCAGAACAGGACAGAGAGCGUUCUGUUCUGCGGAAGGUCUUCCACUCUACAAGGCAAUCCCUCCAGCUGCUUUGCUGUAUUGUGCUGUCUCCUGUCACACUAUGAAUGCAGUGACCUCAGCCAGCAACAGGGAGAACCCCCCUGCCUCCCGAACAAAGGACCUCACGUGAAAUCCUGAGCUCAGAGCUUACAGAUAUGUGUGCGCUUUCACUUUACAUCGGCCGUGACUUCCAAACAACUUCAGGAAACUUUAGGAUCUCUGAGGUAUACUGGAGAUGACAGCAGCGUAGAAUGUUCAUUUGGAUUUAGAACAGAAAUGCUUAUUUUAUAUUUGGCUGCUCCCAAACUGUCCCCAGACUUCCUCUCCAGUGGUUACCCUCCACUGCCCUGGAUGUCCCACGUUUACACUCCACACUCACACCUCCACCUUAACAAAGUCCUCCACUGGGUCAAACCAUACAUCGCUUCGUCUCUGUAGUGAUGACUUCCUGUCCUCUGCUCUGUGGAUAAAGACCCCAGAUAAAGAUGCCUGUGUUGCUCAACUCUUGUAAAUACUCUUGAGACAUUUUGAAAGCAGAAGGAAAGGAGACAGACGGGGAAAAUAAAAGGGAUGGUCUGCUUGUGCGGAAACGUUUUGAGAAUGCCCUUCCCUAAGAGAGAACAGUAAAAGUGAGCAAUACUUCCUGA
rnacentral:lncRNA from 1 species